rnacentral:rRNA from 1 species
UCGAGAAUUUUUCACAAUGGGCGAAAGCCUGAUGGAGCGACGCCGCGUGGGGGAUGAAUGGCUUCGGCCCGUAAACCCCUGUCAUUUGCGAUCAAACGUUAUUAUUUAAAAGAUGAUGACCUGAUAGUAGCGAAAGAGGAAGGGACGGCUAACUCUGUGCCAGCAGCCGCGGUAAUACAGAGGUCCCAAGCGUUGUUCGGAUUCACUGGGCGUAAAGGGUGCGUAGGUGGCGAGGUAAGUCGGAUGUGAAAGCUCGGAGCUCAACUCCGAAAUGGCAUUGGAAACUACCUUGCUCGAGGGUUGGAGGGGGGACUGGAAUUCUCGGUGUAGCAGUGAAAUGCGUAGAUAUCGAGAGGAACACCAGUGGCGAAGGCGAGUCCCUGGACAACUCCUGACACUGAGGCACGAAAGCUAGGGGAGCAAACAGGAUUAGAUACCCCCGUAGUCC